GAGUCGUCCUGCGCGGAAGAUGUAACGGGGCUAAGCCAGUUACCGAAGCUGCGGAUGCACAGUUUACUGUGCGUGGUAGGAGAGCGUUCUGUACGCCUGUGAAGGUGGGUCGUGAGGCCUGCUGGAGGUAUCAGAAGUGCGAAUGCUGACAUGAGUAGCGUUAAAGGGGGUCAAAAGCCCCCUCGCCGUAAGCGCAAGGUUUCCUACGCAACGUUCAUCGGCGUAGGGUGAGUCGGCCCCUAAGGCGAGGCAGAGAUGCGUAGCUGAUGGGAAACAGGUCAAUAUUCCUGUACCGCUCAAUAGUGCGAUGUGGGGACGGAGAAGGUUAGCUCAGCCAGGUGUUGGAUAUCCUGGUUCAAGCAUGUAGGCGUGCUCUUUAGGCAAAUCCGGAGAGCUUAGCUGAGGUGUGAUAACGAGUCUGCUUGCAGACGAAGUGAGUGAUACCCUGCUUCCAGGAAAAGCCACUAAGCUUCAGCUAUUGACGACCGUACCGCAAACCGACACUGGUGCGCGAGAUGAGUAUUCUAAGGCGCUUGAGAGAACUCUGGAGAAGGAACUCGGCAAAUUGACACCGUAACUUCGGAAGAAGGUGUGCCUUUAGUAGGUGAACCAUUUACUUGGGGAGCCCAAUGAGGCCGCAGAUAAUCGGUGGCUGCGACUGUUUAUUAAAAACACAGCACUCUGCAAAG
rnacentral:rRNA from 1 species